rnacentral:rRNA from 1 species
UACGGGGGGGGCAAGCGUUGUUCGGAAUUACUGGGCGUAAAGGGCUCGUAGGCGGCCAACUAAAUCAGACGUGAAAUCCCUCGGCUUAACCGGGGAACUGCGUCUGAUACUGGAUGGCUUGAGUUUGGGAGAGGGAUGCGGAAUUCCAGGUGUAGCGGUGAAAUGCGUAGAUAUCAGGAGGAACACCGGUGGCGAAGGCGGAUCUCUGGGCCAUUACUGACGCUGAGUGAGCGAAAGCCAGGGGAGCAAACGGG